rnacentral:lncRNA from 1 species
GAAUGGGCUGGAUUUUUUUACAGCUCAGCAGGUACUCCAGACCCUAGAUGAGUUCAAUAUGGUCCAAGGCAGCCGGUCCAAGAGGCUAGAGCCCAAGAAUUGAAGGCCCCAAGGCCUUGUUUCCAAGAACGAGCCCAAUAAAGGCUUGCCAAGCCUAAACCGAGAGGGCCAGAGAAGUGUGGCUGCUGCCCAAGAAGAAGCCCGAGGUUCUACUAAGCCCGGUCUUGACCCAAGCCCACCAUGGCUGAGAGAACCCAAAGAGAAGGAGGCCUGCUCGCAUG